rfam:Schistosoma rodhaini strain Burundi genome assembly, scaffold: SROB_scaffold0004972
AUCCAGCUGACGAGUCUCAAAUAGGACGAAACGCGCGUCAAACUAGAU